CGUAGUUGAGCAUUUCAUCAAGUGAGUGAUUUAGAAAAAAUUAGCUUUUUUUCUAAAUCACUCACUUGAUGAAAUGCUCAACUA
rnacentral:pre_miRNA from 1 species